rnacentral:rRNA from 1 species
GAUGAACGCUGGCGUCGUGCCUAAUACAUGCAAGUCGAGCGAACAUUUCAGGCUCUUUCUCCUUUGACUUUAGCGGCCGACGUGUGAUUACCACGUGGUUAACCUACCUAUAAGACUCUUAUUACUUCGGGAAACCGGCGCUUAUACCGGAUAAUUUUUCUCACUUCAUGCUUCGCUCGUGUAAGUUGCUUUUUCUUUCACUUAUAGAUUGACCCGCGCCGUAUUCGCUAGUUGGUAAGGUAACGGCUUACCAAGGCGACGAUACGUCGCCGAACUGAGAGGGAGAUCGGCCACACGGGAACUGAGACACGGUACAGACUCCUACGGGAGGAAGCAGUAGGGAAUCUUACGCAAAGGGCGAGAGCGUGAAGGAGCAAAGCCGCGGGAGGGAUGAAGGACUUCGGAUCGGAAAACGCUGUUAGUAGGGAAGAACAAACGUGUAAGUAACGGGGAACGUAAUGACGGUACCUAAACAGAAAGCCACGGCUAACUACGUG